GGGCCCUAUUAUGACUCGCGAGUCGAACGUUCGACUCAAGUCGAACGAUUUGGCGAAUUGCCUAAGUCGUGGUAUUAUGAAAGGCGAACUUCGACGUUCGCUUUUGAAAACAAUAUUACCAACUUUAAGAAGUGAAAUAUGUAACGUCAUGACUCGGUGAAACGUCAAAGACUGAAAAUUAUUGUUGAUGAUAUAUUGUUUACAAUUUGGAAAAAAGUAAAAUAAAUAAAACAAAAUAUGAUAAGCAGUGUUGAUUUAUUUUUUUGAAGAUGAAGAUAAAAACGAAAGAGCGGAGAAAGUAUUGGUGUGUAGAUUACGAAGAAGUUUAAGGGACAACUCCAACCCACUUCAACUUCCAGAUAAUUUGUUUGUGUCAUAUUUUCGCGUUAAUAAGCAUGCAUUUGGUUAUAUUUUAAACAUCAUUACACCAGGAUUUAAAACUACUCAAAGUUCUGCAAUUCCACCAUAUAUAAAAGUUUCAGUAGUUCUAAGUGAAGUUACUUAUUACUUUUUUGAAAGGGCCAGAUUACCCAGAAUAGUGGGCUGUGUAGAUGGGACUCACAUUGGAAUAAUCGCUCCUGUUCAGCUACAACAUCAAUUUUUAAACAGAAAAGGAUUUUAUAGUUUGAAUGUUAGUGGUGGCCUGUGACAAUAAUGGAAUUAUAAGAUUUAUUGAUUCCAGAUAUCCAGGUUCAACACAUGACUCUUUUAUGUGGAAUCAUAUUGAAUUAAAGGAUCUUUUGGAAAGCUGGUGGUUGAAUGGAGAGCGGUCAAGAUAUCUAGGUGUGAAUAUAUUCCAUUCGUAGGUAAAGAAGUAAAUGGGCUAUUUUUAAGAACAAUUUUUUUUUCAAAAAUACCAGGCUUGGUUUUUUUUUUGAAGAUCCGAAAGAUCCUAUACCUUUCGCAUUUUCAAGGUUUGUCUCCAUAAUUUCAACGAGCUUUGAAAAUUGGUUGGAGUUGGUUCUUUUUAUGCUAGGUAUACAAAUAAAAUUCUAUAUUAUUUUUGCAAUUGUUAAGCAUUCAUUAAUUUUAAGCAUUCAUUACCUUUUUCUAUUUCCAGUGCAACUCAUUUUACUUUAUUUUCCAAAAUUAUUCUCAAAACAAAAUAAAACAAACAAACAACCACCGAUUUCAAAUUUAACAGUAAAUUUCUUCAAGUCACGAAGAAUUACAGUUCGACCGAUUCUGACAGAUAAAAGCGAACGUUCGCUAGUGGUAAUAGAGCGAGAUUUCAAUUCGCUAUUUUUUUGACAUUUUAGGCGAAUGUCAACUAGGCGAU